CUGAACUCCAGCUUGGCCAAUGGCCACUGUUGGAACUUGGCAAGAUUCUCCUUGCUGGUGCCAUGAAGUCCGCGGCCAUGUUGAGGAAGCCCUGAGGGCAAAGAACCAUGGGAAGCUUCUAGAAUCUGAGGGUGGCCUCUGGGUGACAGUCAACAAAAUGCCAGGGACCUGCUCAGAUAGCCACAAGGAAAUGAAUUCUGACCACAACCUGAGGGAGCAUAGCAGUGGGUUGUUCCCCAGUAGAGCCUCCAGAUGAGAACACAGCCUAGCCAAUGUCACAAGGAUUGCAGCCUUGUGAGACUCGGAGCAGAGGACCCAUUUAAGCAUUCCUGGACUCCUGGACCUAAACUGAGAAAUAAUAAAUGUAUAUUGCUGGAGGCCACCAAGUGUGUAGUGAUUCAUUACAUUGCAAUGGAUAUCUAGUAGAUUGCUACUAUGUGCCUGACACAUAGUAGGUUCUGAAAGUAGAGGUGAAGGAAAGCAGAAGAAGACUUAAGCCAUCCUACCCUCCUCUUGUCCUCUCCUCAAACCCCAACAGAAGCUGGCAUUCCAAGAGGCUCCGGGCCUUCUACAAUGUCAGCCUUGCUAAGGUGCCUGGCUUGGAAUGA
rnacentral:lncRNA from 10 species